rnacentral:rRNA from 1 species
UUGGAAACAGCGGUUAGGAGCUUACACCCACCCGUGUUUACAUACUAUUGUUGCUUUGGCGGGCCGUGGCCUCCACUGCGGGCUCUGCUCGUGUGUGCCCGCCAGAGGACCAAACUCUGAAUGUUAGUGAUGUCUGAGUACUAUCUAAUAGUUAAAACUUUCAACAACGGAUCUCUUGGUUCUGGCAUCGAUGAAGAACGCAGCGAAAUGCGAUAAGUAAUGUGAAUUGCAGAAUUCAGUGAAUCAUCGAAUCUUUGAACGCACAUUGCGCCCUGUGGUAUUCCGCAGGGCAUGCCUGUUCGAGCGUCAUUUAACCACUCACGCCUAGCGUGGUAUUGGGGCACGCGGUCUCGCGGCCCUCAAAAUUAGUGGCGGCGCCGGUGGGCUCUAAGCGUAGUACAUACUCCCGCUAUAGAGUUCCCCCGGUGGCUCGCCAGAACCCCCAAUUUUUUACAGGUUGACCUCGGAUCAGGUAGGGAUACCCGCUGAACUUAAGCAUAUC